AUAACCUACUUCACAAGGACUAAGCAAUACAAGUUAUACAACUUUCAUGGCGUGCGAUGCCCGAUGUUGUUAACGCUCAUAUUGAAAUGGAAUUGCAUUUUUUUGGAUAUCCAUUCCAUGGCCGGUAUAAUUGUUCCGAAUGUUGAUCUAUGUGUUCACUCUAUAUGGUUAAAUACGUGGUGGAAGGCAACCACGGGAGAGUAUAUAACGAAUAUGGAACGUAACAGGAUGGUUAAAGCCCUCUUCAGAGAAAAAGGAACAACGAUGCACAGGAAAUACAAAAUCUUCAUUUGAAAGAAUCAAAGAGACCGUCUUUGUUCCGGGCCAUGUAAGCGUAUGAGGAAAAAUGGAAAGUUAAACAAGUAUGGAACCGGGGG